rfam:Chlorocebus sabaeus isolate 1994-021 chromosome 28, whole genome shotgun sequence.
GCCGGGCGCAGUGGCUCACGCCUGUAAUCCCAGCACUUUGGGAGGCCGAGGCGGGCGGAUCACAAGGUCAGGAGAUCGAGACCAUCCUGGCUAAUAUGGUGAAAUCCCAUCUCUACUAAAAAAUACAAAAAACUAGCCCGGCGAGGUGGCGGCNNNNNNNNNNGCCGCCACCUCGCCGGGCUAGUUUUUUGUAUUUUUUAGUAGAGAUGGGAUUUCACCAUAUUAGCCAGGAUGGUCUCGAUCUCCUGACCUUGUGAUCCACCCGUCUCGGC